UACGUAGGUGACCAGCGUUGUCCGGAUUUACUGGGCGUAAAGAGCGCGCAGGCGGUCGUUCAAGUCGAGUGUGAAAGCCCCCGGCUCAACUGGGGAGGGUCACUCGAUACUGAUCGACUUGAAGGCAGGAGAGGGAAGCGGAAUUCCCGGUGUAGUGGUGAAAUGCGUAGAUAUCUGGAGGAACACCGGUGGCGAAGGCGGCAUCCUGGACCAACACUGACACUGAGGAGCGAAAGCCAGGGGAGCAAACGGG
rnacentral:rRNA from 1 species